rnacentral:rRNA from 1 species
UGGGAAUCUUGCACAAUGGGCGAAAGCCUGAUGCAGCAACGCCGCGUGCGGGAAGACGGCCCUAGGGUUGUAAACCGCUUUCAGGAGGGAAGAAAAUGACGGUACCUCCAGAAGAAGGUGCGGCCAACUACGUGCCAGCAGCCGCGGUGACACGUAGGCACCAAGCGUUAUCCGGAUUUAUUGGGCGUAAAGAGCUCGUAGGCGGUUCGGUAAGUCGGGUGUGAAAAUCCAAGGCUCAACCUUGGGACGCCACCCGAUACUGCUGUGACUCGAGUGCAGUAGGGGAGCAGGGAAUUCCUGGUGUAGCGGUGAAAUGCGUAGAGAUCGGAAGGAACAUCAGUGGCGAAGGCGACUGUCUGGCCCAAUACUGACGCUGAGGUGCGAAAGCGUGGGGAGCAAACAGGAUUAGAU